GUUUUAUCCGGGGUUUCCGCUUUUGCGUCUUCGUCAUUUUUCUCUUGCUACCACCAUUUGAGAAGUGCCUUUCGCCUCCUGCCAUGAUUCUGAGGUCCUCCCAAGCUAUGGGGAACUGUAAAUACAAUUAAACCUCUUUUUCUUCCCAGUCUCCGGUAUGUCUUUAUCAGCAGCAUGUAAAGGGACUAAUCCAGAGAGCCCCACCUGGAAGACUCUAGGUUCUCAUCUUCAUGCCCCGAUGUAAGGAGAGUGGUCCUUCUGUACAUCAGGAGUCUGAAAUGCAUCUCACUGGGCUAAAAUCAAGAUCUGUGGCACAUGGAACCACAUGUGGGACAAGAGACUAAUAAAGAUGUGACCUACUCACAGAGGCUUCAGGUGUUUUGCGAAGUACAUUGGCUUUUAUUCAACGUGCAGUGGGACUCCAACUAAAGUGUUUCAGGAAGACAACCUACAUGACAUGUUUUUCCUAAAGACAAUGCCUCCACUCCGAGUAAGUCACAGUCAAAGUAAAUGAAGAGCCCAAGAUGACAUCAGUUCCAUUUGUCGCACGGCCCUUUUGUGAUCUCCUGGUUCUUGUAAAUCUCACUGUGGCUGAUGAGGUCUGGAUAGAUAAUCAUGAUGGUGGCUGAAGAGAGACAAUGGUGGUGCUAGGUUACCAGUGGCGUGGAGCUCAGAGCUAAUGCAGAGCAGCUGGAGCAGUGCUGAGUUUCAAAACGUGUUGGAAAAAAUAUUAUAUGAAUGAUGCUAUUUUUUUCACUGAAUCACAUCAAGAAGCACAUGAUGUUAAGCUGUCUCAUCAUUGGUGGUGUUAACUUGGAUCGCUUGAUUAAGCCCGAGAACUACUCACUCUGGGUCUCCUCUCCACUGAGGGCUGCACACAUGCCGGGAUGACCUGCCUGUGGAAAGGAGCUACAACUUCAGGUCUCCUGAGAGCUGUAGGUAGGUUAGUUUUGCAUCGUUGAUUUAAGCAAUUUUCUAUGUAUGGGCGUUUACAUGGUAUCCAAUAAUUUGUUAUAUAACACAUAAUAUCCCAAUGCAUGAAGGCACAAAUAUGUAUUUUCUUGCUGUUGGUGGUGUAUGUUGGGGGUGAAUUCCUAAAGUGAUAUUGUUUGGUCAAAAGUUAAAUGUAUAUGUAGUUUUGGGUUACUAUUGGUAACUUUCCUUCCAUAGGAUUUGUACCAUUUUGCUUUCCCAUUAGCAAUGUGUAGGAAUGCCUGUUUCCCUGUAGCCUCCCCAACAGCUUGUGUUAUCAAGAUUUUGGAUAUUUAACAAACUUGAAGGUGAGAAAUUACAUUUAUUAAUUUGUAUCUUAUUUUUAGUAAUGUUUAAUAAUUUAUAUGCUUCAGAUUAUUUUAUAUCUAUCUGAGAUUUAUCUAUUUAAUAUAUCUGAGAUUUAUCUAUUAAUGAUUCUUGCCCCAUUUUCCAUCAAUUUUUGGUCUUAAUUUAUUUUUCUUUUCAUAAUGUGAUUUUCCUUGAUUAUGUAUUACAAAUGUAUUCUAGUUUGUCUUUUUACUGACACUGCUUACAGUUGGCAUUGCUAUUAUUUUUGCUUUGGAAAGGUUUGCUAAAUGAAUUCAUUUUUAUUUUAGAGGAGUUAAAAUUUUCAGUGUUUUCUUUUAUUGUGUUGCAAUUUUGGAUCAUUAUUACAAAACAUUGUUUUUUAGAGCCAGAUUACAAAUUACCCCACAUUUUCUUCUAAUGCAUGUGAUGGCAGCAGCGGCCAAAUAGAGUAGCUGCUGCAAAGGUGCUAGCUGCAGUGGGGUAUGCAUGACUGGGACGGCUAACUCCGCGGAGCUGGCAGGAGCUGGGAACAGGCGGGAGCUCCACCCCCUUCCAAGUGGGUGGGGCAUGAGCUUUGUGCUUCUGGGUGCAACUGCAGCUGCCCAGCCACGACUGCGGACCCAGGCAUCCCUGUGGUCUUGGGGGCCCAGGAAGUCUCCCUGCCCCCGCAGGCUCAGAAGGGCCUCCUCCUGCUGCCUGGCCUCUCUCCACUCCCAGCAUCCACUCUGAUUUUGGAGGAAAGUUGUGGCCGAGCUCGGGCUCUGUCACGACCCGGCUGGGUGUGCGCACACUCAAGGCAGCACUGACAUGCCAGCCCCUUGCCGCCUCGGCCCCACUCCGUAAUUGGGACACUGACAAACAUGGGAGGGAGGUCAAGAGGGGGCUGAGGGCGGCUUUGUGUGAGCCUGCAGGCACCCCUUGGCACGAACAGCCUGGGCACCAUGAAUGGCAGCAGUAGGCAGACAGGCUCCUGGGCAGAAAGGGGCACGUCCCUGGUGAAACCCCACCUUCAAGCCAGGGAGGGCCUGAAGCCUGGGGGCUGGGCUGCCAGUUGCACAGACCAGAGUGAGAACUUAUGGUGCUUUUUCUGGGCCCGCCCAUGGCCACCCGUAGACCAAUCAGCACACUCUUCCUCCCCUGUGAAACCCAUAAAAACCCUCAGAGUCACCCAGAAUUGGACAGAUGACAAGACAACCGGACUGCAGGGAGGAGCUACCCAUUCAAGGUCUCCUCUCCAAUGAGGGUUGCAGAGAUGUUGGGGCAAUUUGCCUGCAGAUAGGAGCUACCCACUUGGGAUCUCCUCUCUGCCGAGGACUACACACUUGAUGGGAUGACCUGCUUGUGGAGAAGAGCUACCCACUGUGGGUCUCCUCUCAGCUGAGGGUUGCACAGAUGCCCAGACCACAUGCCUGUGGAAAGGGGAUACCCACUUUGGGUCUCCUGAGAGCUGUACUGCCACUCAAUAAAGCACUGCUUCACCUUGCUCACCCUCCAGUUGUCUGCAUACCUCAUUUUUCCUGGAUAUGGGACAAGAACUUGGGACCAGACAGACAAAUGGCAGGACUAAAAGAGCUGUAACACAAACAGGGCUGUAACCCCCACCCCAACACCACUGGCCACAUUGUGGGUGACGAGAAGGAAAGAAGUAGAGAAGAGCUGCAGUUCUUUGGGGAUUGCAAACCUAGGAGCUCCCUGAGCCAGGGCUGUGAAACCUUCUUUAGGGCUCUGCAUUUCCGGGCAUCAUCUCCAAGCUUCCAGGUGCCACCGCAUUCCCUGGUUCCUGAGGCAGAAGCUACUUGUGAUACACUUGGUCUAGCUACAGCCUUGCAGGGAGCCGGAGCCUGUGCCAGUGCCUGGAGCUGCCCACCCCACCACAGCCAGCGUGCCUGGCCGUGCGCGGUGGCCGGACCCCACUUUUGCUUCUUCACACACCCCUCACCACUCUGCGCUUGGCCCAACCUUGGCAGGCAUGGGAUCCGGGUGGUAGCGAAAGCCGAGUGCAGCCUGUCAGGCCCACUGGGUGGAACAGGCUCAGCAGGCCCAAGCAAAACUUGGGCAAAGGUGCCACUGGCCAUAGAGGUUGCUGGCUGGUGAAGCAACACCCUAAGGAACCUGGGAAACAUGUAUGGCUACAUUUAUAUUUUACACUCAGAAUUCUAAUUCAUUUGGAUUUUUUUUUUUUUCUGUGUAGAGGGAAAAGUGUGAAUCCAUUUUUAUCAUUAUCUAAAUGACUGUUCAGUUGUUCCAACAUGCUUUGAUAAAAUGUCCAUAUUUGUCUCUGUGAUUUGAAAUGACUACCUUUAUCGUGUAGUAAAUUUUACUAUGUUCUUGGCUGUUGUAUUUUCUAUUAUAUUCCACUGGUCUGUUAUUUCUUUACCAGUAUAAAUAACAUGGAUUCAAUUGCAGAAACUUUAUAGUAUGUUUUAAAAUCUGGUGGCACUAUUCCUUUCCUGUUGCUCUUAUUUUUAUGGGUUGUCCUACGUGUUCAUGCAUAUUAUUUUUCACAUGAACAACUCCACAAUAGUUGGAGAAAAAAAAUCUUCCUGGUAUUUUAUUAGAGUUGCAUUAAAUUUAUGCAUAAACUAAGAGAUAAGAGAGACAUAACAUCUUGUUGACAUUGACACAUCAUAAUCAAGAACAAGCAAUGUCAUUUCAUUUUUGCACAUCUUCCUUUUUGUCUUCCAGGAGAUGCUAAUCAUUUUCCUUAUAUAGUUUUUAAAUCGUCUUCCCUUAGUAUUACGUAGAUUGUCAUUAUUUUAAAGGCUAAUUCUGACAGCUUCAUUAUUUGGCAUCUUUGUAUUGUGCAUAUUUUUUCUUGAUUUUAGAUCAUUUGAUCUUGAGUCCUAGUGUGUUGGUUA
rnacentral:lncRNA from 1 species